rnacentral:lncRNA from 1 species
GUAAUUAUAUUUAUUUCUAAGAUAUUUUAAAGGACGAUAAGAUCCCAAAAAAAGUCAGUAGCAUUGUUUUAAAGGACUUGAUCAUUGAGUUUUCUACCUCUCCAGAUAAUUUAUUUAAUUAACAAUUUUGUUUAGUUUGUUCUAAUAGUCUUCGGGCCUGUAUAAAAUCUCAACGUUGGUCAAUUAUAACUAUCCAUACCUGUUGUUUGUUGUUGGGUGUGUAGGGCAGCAUGGUGGAGACAUGAAACAUCACCUCGUAGUCCUUAUAGGUGGUAUAGAGGGAGUGGGUCCCUGUGGAGUCAGCUGGAGGAGAGACAGACAGUAGAGUUAGACAGACAGGUUCAUAGUCCUUAUAGGUGGUGUACAGGGAGUGGGUCCCUGUUGAGUCAGCUGGAGGAGAGACAGACAGACAGUAGAGUUAGACAGACAGGUUCAUAGUCCUUAUAGGUGGUGUACAGGGAGUGGGUCCCUGUGGAGUCAGCUAGAGGAGACACAGACAGUAACUAGAGUUAGACAGACAGGUUCAUAGUCCUUAUAGGUGGUGUACAGGGAGUGGGUCCCUGUGGAGUCAGCUAGAGGAGACACAGACAGUAACUAGAGUUAGACAGACAGGUUCAUAGUCCUUAUAGGUGGUGUACAGGGAGUGGGUCCCUGUGGAGUCAGCUGGAGGAGAGACAGACAGUAGAGUUAGACAGACAGGUUCAUAGUCCUUAUAGGUGGUAUAGAGGGAAUGGGUCCCCGUUGAGUCAGCUGGAGGAGACACAGACAGUAGAGUUAGACAGACAGGUUCAUAGUCCUUAUAGGUGGUGUACAGGGAGUGGGUCCCUGUGGAGUCAGCUGGAGGAGAGACAGACAGUAACUAGAGUUAGACAGACAGGUUCAUAGUCCUUAUAGGUGGUGUACAGGGAGUGGGUCCCUGUUGAGUCAGCUGGAGGAGAGACAGACAGACAGUAGAGUUAGACAGACAGUAGAGUUAGACAGACAGGUUCAUAGUCCUUAUAGGUGGUAUAGAGGGAGUGGGUCCCCGUUGAGUCAGCUGGAGGAGAGACAGACAGUAGAGUUAGACAGACAGGUUCAUAGUCCUUAUAGGUGGUAUAGAGGGAGUGGGUCCCCGUUGAGUCAGCUGAAGGAGAGACAGACAGUAACUAGAGUUAGACAGACAGGUUCAUAGUCCUUAUAGGUGGUGUACAGGGAGUGGGUCCCUGUGGAGUCAGCUGGAGGAGAGACAGACAGUAGAGUUAGACAGACAGGUUCAUAGUCCUUAUAGGUGGUAUAGAGGGAGUGGGUCCCCGUUGAGUCAGCUGGAGGAGAGACAGACAGUAACUAGAGUUAGACAGACAGGUUCAUAGUCCUUAUAGGUGGUGUACAGGGAGUGGGUCCCUGUGGAGUCAGCUGGAGGAGAGACAGACAGUAGAGUUAGACAGACAGGUUCAUAGUCCUUAUAGGUGGUAUAGAGGGAGUGGGUCCCUGUGGAGUCAGCUGGAGGAGAGACAGACAGUAACUAGAGUUAGACAGACAGGUUCAUAGUCCUUAUAGGUGGUGUACAGGGAGUGGGUCCCUGUGGAGUCAGCUGGAGGAGAGACAGACAGACAGUAGAGUUAGACAGACAGGUUCAUAGUCCUUAUAGGUGGUGUACAGGGAGUGGGUCCCUGUGGAGUCAGCUGGAGGAGAGACAGACAGUAGAGUUAGACAGACAGGUUCAUAGUCCUUAUAGGUGGUAUAGAGGGGAUGGGUCCCUGUUGAGUCAGCUGGAGGAGAGACAGACAGGUUCAUAGUCCUUAUAGGUGGUGUACAGGGAGUGGGUCCCUGUGGAGUCAGCUGGAGGAGAGACAGACAGUAGAGUUAGACAGACAGGUUCCUAGUCCUUAUAGGUGGUAUAGAGGGAAUGGGUCCCCGUUGAGUCAGCUGGAGGAGAGACAGACAGUAACUAGAGUUAGACAGACAGGUUCAUAGUCCUUAUAGGUGGUAUAGAGGGGAUGGAUCCAAGAGAAGUCCGCUAAGAGAGAAAACUAAGACGUGUAAGAAUGUGUUAUUGUUUCAACUGCCAUCAUCUCUCCUGUAUAUAACAGCCUCAUGUCUAGAUUGUCUGUCUGACGCAGACCCUUACACAGAAUGUUCUAGAGCUGGGUGACACAUUACAUUAAAAAUAUAUGUAGUUUAAACUGCCACUAGGCUUGGGCAGUAUAUCAUAUUAUACAUACCGUAUACUUAUAUAUAUAUAUACCUUAUAUACCGAGGUAUUUGGAAAUAGCAACGGGAUGGUUUUUCAAUACCGUCAAUAUCGUUUAAACUAUUAUUAUUAUUUUUUAAAGUAUUUUAAAUACAUUUGAAUAUUUGUAGAUACUUUUUA